rnacentral:rRNA from 1 species
GCUAAUACCCCAUAUGCUUUCGAGUGAAAUGGAUUUAUCCGCCUAAAGAGAAGCUCGCGGCUGAUUAGCUUGUUGGUAAGGUAAGAGCUUACCAAGGCGACGAUCAGUAUCUGGUUUGAGAGGACGAUCAGACACACUGGAACUGAGACACGGUCCAGACUCCUACGGGAGGCAGCAGUGGGGAAUUUUCCGCAAUGGGCGAAAGCCUGACGGAGCAAUACCGCGUGAGGGAAGACUGCCUAUGGGUUGUAAACCUCUUUUUUCAGGGAGGAAUAAAAUGACGUGUACCUGAAGAAUAAGCAUCGGCUAACUCCGUGCCAGCAGCCGCGGUAAGACGGAGGAUGCAAGUGUUAUCCGGAAUCACUGGGCGUAAAGCGUCUGUAGGUGGCCUAAUAAGUCAACUGUUAAAUCUUGAGGCUCAACUUCAAAAUCGCAGUCGAAACUAUUAGACUAGAGUAUAGUAGAGGUAAAGGGAAUUUCCAGUGGAGCGGUGAAAUGCGUAGAUAUUGGAAAGAACACCGAUGGCGAAAGCACUUUACUGGGCUAUUACUAACACUCAGAGACGAAAGCUAGGGUAGCAAAUGGGAUUAUAUA